rnacentral:rRNA from 1 species
AGUAAGGAAUAUUGGUCAAUGGGCGCAAGCCUGAACCAGCCAUGCCGCGUGCAGGAAGACGGCCCUAUGGGUUGUAAACUGCUUUUGUCAGGGAAUAAACCCCCGUACGUGUACGGGGCUGAAGGUACCUGAAGAAUAAGCAUCGGCUAACUCCGUGCCAGCAGCCGCGGUAAUACGGAGGAUGCAAGCGUUAUCCGGAUUCAUUGGGUUUAAAGGGUGCGCAGGCGGAUUGAUAAGUCAGGGGUGAAAUCCCACAGCUCAACUGUGGAACUGCCUUUGAUACUGUUAGUCUUGAGUAUAGUUGAAGUGGGCGGAAUGUGUCAUGUAGCGGUGAAAUGCUUAGAUAUGACACAGAACACCGAUCGCGAAGGCAGCUCGCUAAGCUAUAACUGACGCUCAUGCACGAAAGCGUGGGGAUCAAACAGGAUUAGAUACCCUGGUAGUCCACGCCGUAAACGAUGAUUACUCGAUGUUGGCGAUAUACAGUCAGCGUCUGAGCGAAAGCAAUAAGUAAUCCACCUGGGGAGUACGAUCGCAAGAUUGAAACUCAAAGGAAUUGACGGGGGCCCGCACAAGCGGAGGAGCAUGUGGUUUAAUUCGAUGAUACGCGAGGAACCUUACCUGGGCUAGAACGUAGAGUGACUGCGGGUGAAAGCCUGCUUCCCUUCGGGGCAGUCUACGAGGUGCUGCAUGGUUGUCGUCAGCUCGUGCCGUGAGGUGUCGGGUUAAGUCCCAUAACGAGCGCAACCCCUAUCUUUAGUUGCCAACAGGUCAAGCUGGGGACUCUAAAGAAACUGCCUACGCAAGUAGUGAGGAAGGCGGGGAUGACGUCAAAUCAGCACGGCCCUUACGUCCAGGGCUACACACGUGCUACAAUGGCCGAUACAGAGGGCAGCUACCAGGUGACUGGAUGCAAAUCUCCAAAGUCGGUCUCAGUUCGGAUCGGAGUCUGCAACCCGACUCCGUGAAGUUGGAUUCGCUAGUAAUCGCGCAUCAGCCAUGGCGCGGUGAAUACGUUCCCGGGCCUUGUACACACCGCCCGUCAAGCCAUGGAAGCUGGGGGGACCUAAAGUCGAUAACCGAAAGGAGUCGCCUAGGGUAAAACCAGUGACUGGGGCU